rnacentral:rRNA from 1 species
CUCAAGGAAUUGACGGGGCCCGCACAAGCGGAGGAGCAUGUGGUUUAAUUCGAUGAUACGCGAGGAACCUUACCUGGGCUCGAACGUAAGAUGACUGUAGGUGAAAGCUUACAUCUCUUCGGAGCAUUUUACGAGGUGCUGCAUGGUUGUCGUCAGCUCGUGCCGUGAGGUGUCGGGUUAAGUCCCAUAACGAGCGCAACCCCUACCUUUAGUUGCCAUCAGGUUAAGCUGGGGACUCUAAAGGAACUGCCUACGCAAGUAGUGAGGAAGGCGGGGAUGACGUCAAAUCAGCACGGCCCUUACGUCCAGGGCUACACACGUGCUACAAUGGCCGAUACAGAGGGCAGCUACCUGGUGACAGGAUGCAAAUCUCCAAAGUCGGUCUCAGUUCGGAUCGGAGUCUGCAACCCGACUCCGUGAAGUUGGAUUCGCUAGUAAUCGCGCAUCAGCCAUGGCGCGGUGAAUACGUUCCCGGGCCUU